rnacentral:rRNA from 1 species
UACAUGUGGGGCAAGCGUUGUUCGGAAUUACUGGGCAUAAAGGGUGCGUAGGCGGCUUACUAAGUCAGUGGUGAAAUCGUCUGGCCCAACCAGACACGUGCCAAUGAUACUGGUGAGCUAGAGUGCGUGAGGGGUAGGGGGAACGAGCAGUGUAGCGGUGAAAUGCGUAGAUAUUGCUCGGAAGGCCAAAGCCGAAGGGACCCUACUGGUGCGCAACUGACGCUGAGGCACGAAAGCGUGGGGAGCAAACAGG